UAGGGAAUCUUGCGCAAUGGGCGAAAGCCUGACGCAGCCAUGCCGCGUGAAUGAUGAAGGUCUUAGGAUUGUAAAAUUCUUUCACCGGGGAAGAUAAUGACGGUACCCGGAGAAGAAGCCCCGGCUAACUUCGUGCCAGCAGCCGCGGUAAUACGAAGGGGGCUAGCGUUGCUCGGAAUUACUGGGCGUAAAGGGCGCGUAGGCGGAUAUUUAAGUUGGGGGUGAAAGCCCGGGGGCUCAACCUCGGAAUAGCCUUCAAUACUGGAUAUCUUGAGUUCGGGAGAGGUGAGUGGAAUGCCGAGUGUAGAGGUGAAAUUCGUAGAUAUUCGGCGGAACACCAGUGGCGAAGGCGACUCACUGGCCCGAUACUGACGCUGAGGCGCGAAAGCGUGGGGAGCAAACAGGAUUAGAUACCCUGGUAGUCCACGCCGUAAACGAUGAGUGCUAGUUGUCGGCAUGCAUGCAUGUCGGUGACGCAGCUAACGCAUUAAGCACUCCGCCUGGGGAGUACGGUCGCAAGAUUAAAACUCAAAGGAAUUGACGGGGGUCAUAGCUG
rnacentral:rRNA from 1 species